rnacentral:rRNA from 1 species
CAGCAGCCGCGGUAAUACGAAGGGGGCUAGCGUUGUUCGGAUUUACUGGGCGUAAAGGGCGCGUAGGCGGACUGAUAAGUCAGGGGUGAAAUCCCAAGGCUCAACCUUGGAACUGCCUUUGAUACUGUCUGCCUUGAGUUCGAGAGAGGUAAGUGGAACUGCGAGUGUAGAGGUGAAAUUCGUAGAUAUUCGCAAGAACACCAGUGGCGAAGGCGGCUUACUGGCUCGAAACUGACGCUGAGGCGCGAAAGCGUGGGGAGCAAACAGGAUUAGAUACCCCAGUAGUCCCUGUCUCUUAUAC